GAUGAACGCUGGCGGCGUGCUUAACACAUGCAAGUCGAACGGUAAGGCCCUUCGGGGUACACGAGUGGCGAACGGGUGAGUAACACGUGGGUGAUCUGCCCUGCACUUCGGGAUAAGCCUGGGAAACUGGGUCUAAUACCGGAUAGGACCACUGCCUGCAUGGGUGGGGGUGGAAAGCUUUUGCGGUGUGGGAUGGGCCCGCGGCCUAUCAGCUUGUUGGUGGGGUGAUGGCCUACCAAGGCGACGACGGGUAGCCGGCCUGAGAGGGUGACCGGCCACACUGGGACUGAGAUACGGCCCAGACUCCUACGGGAGGCAGCAGUGGGGAAUAUUGCACAAUGGGCGCAAGCCUGAUGCAACGACGCCGCGUGAGGGAUGACGGCCUUCGGGUUGUAAACCUCUUUCAGCACCGACGAAGCGCAAGUGACGGUAGGUGCAGAAGAAGGACCGGCCAACUACGUGCCAGCAGCCGCGGUAA
rnacentral:rRNA from 1 species